rnacentral:rRNA from 1 species
UGGCGGCAGGCUUAACACAUGCAAGUCGAGCGGUAGCAGAUCUAGCUUGCUAGAUGCUGACGAGCGGCGGACGGGUGAGUAACGCGUAGGAACCUGCCCAGUAGUGGGGGAGUAGCCCGGGGAAACGUCGGAUUAAUACCGCAUACGCUCUACGGAGGAAAGAGGGGGCUUCGGCUCUCGCUAUUGGAUGGGCCUGCGUGAGAUUAGCUAGUUGGUGAGGUAAUGGCUCACCAAGGCGACGAUCUCUAGCUGGUCUGAGAGGAUGAUCAGCCACACUGGGACUGAGACACGGCCCAGACUCCUACGGGAGGCAGCAGUGGGGAAUAUUGCACAAUGGGCGCAAGCCUGAUGCAGCCAUGCCGCGUGUGUGAAGAAGGCUUUCGGGUUGUAAAGCACUUUCAGUGGGGAGGAAGGCCUCGUAGUUAAUAGCUGCGAGGAUUGACGUUACCCACAGAAGAAGCACCGGCUAACUCCGUG